CUACGAAAGGUGCAAGCGUUGUUCGGAUUUACUGGGCGUAAAGCGAUCGUAGGUGGUUUAUUAAGUCGGAUGUGAAAUCCCGGGGCUCAACCUCGGAACUGCAUUCGAUACUGGUAGACUAGAGUUUGGGAGGGGUAAGCGGAAUUCCGUGUGUAGCAGUGAAAUGCGUAGAUAUACGGAGGAACACCUGAGGCGAAGGCGGCUUACUGGACCAAUACUGACACUGAGGAUCGAAAGCGUGGGUAGCAAACAGGAUUAGAAACCCCGGUAGUCC
rnacentral:rRNA from 1 species